rnacentral:rRNA from 1 species
GAUGAACGCUGGCGGCGUGCCUAAUACAUGCAAGUCGAGCGAACAGACGAGGAGCUCGCUCCUCUGACGUUAGCGGCGGACGGGUGAGUAACACGUGGAUAACCUACCUAUAAGACUGGGAUAACUUCGGGAAACCGGAGCUAAUACCGGAUAAUAUAUUGAACCGCAUGGUUCAAUAGUGAAAGACGGUUUUGCUGUCACUUAUAGAUGGAUCCGCGCCGCAUUAGCUAGUUGGUAAGGUAACGGCUUACCAAGGCAACGAUGCGUAGCCGACCUGAGAGGAUGAUCGGCCACACUGGAACUGAGACACGGUCCAGACUCCUACGGGAGGCAGCAGUGGGGAAUCUUCCGCAAUGGGCGAAAGCCUGACGGAGCAACGCCGCGUGAGUGAUGAAGGUCUUCGGAUCGUAAAGCUCUGUUAUUAGGGAAGAACAAAUGUGUGAGUAACUAUGCACGUCUUGACGGUACCUAAUCAGAAAGCCACGGCUAACUACGUG